GACGAACGCUGGCGGCGUGCCUAAUACAUGCAAGUCGAACGAAGCUGUUUUAACUGGUGCUUGCACCGACUUAAACAACUGAGUGGCGAACGGGUGAGUAACACGUGGGUAACCUGCCCCAAAGCGGGGGAUAACAUUUGGAAGCAGAUGCUAAUACCGCAUAACCACAGAAACCACAUGGUUUCUGUGUCAAAGAUGGUUUCGGCUAUCACUUUGGGAUGGACCCGCGGCGUAUUAGCUAGUUGGUAAGGUAAUGGCUUACCAAGGAAAUGAUACGUAGCCGAACUGAGAGGUUGAUCGGCCACAUUGGGACUGAGACACGGCCCAAACUCCUACGGGAGGCAGCAGUAGGGAAUCUUCCACAAUGGACGAAAGUCUGAUGGAGCAACGCCGCGUGAGUGAAGAAGGUUUUCGGAUCGUAAAACUCUGUUGUCAGAGAAGAACGUGUGCGAGAGUAACUGUUCGUGCAGUGACGGUAUCUGGCCAGAAAGCCACGGCUAACUACGUGCCAGCAGCCGCCGUAA
rnacentral:rRNA from 1 species